CAAUAUGCAACUCUGUCUCUCUGUUCCACCUGAAUCAGGAGAGGCAGCUGAGGUGUUAGACCACAGUGGCUUGGAGGCAGUGAUGGGCUGGGUGUGGGCCAAUAAAUGGAAGCUGAAUCCUGAAAAGAGAAAGGUGAUUAAACCCAUGGCCUCCCCUGCUGAAGGGUCUGCCUAUCUUUGAGAACUUUCAGGCCAGAUUCACAACCCAUGUGGGACAACGAGGAAGCUGAUCUAAGGUGAUGUAAUGUGGCAAGAAGUUGUCUGAAAUUUUGUGAGUCAGGCUUGAACCCCUCUAGCAGGCAAAGCUCUCUGGGUACCAGGGAAAGGCUACAGGACUCCUUAUGUUUAAACCAGACAUGGACUGGGCAGAUGAUUAAAUAGAGGAUGCUUCCAAAUGGAGAACUGCCUUUGAUGAAGUAGGGCACAUGGCCACUCUCUGACUGGGCCCAUCAUGUGGUAUGAGGGAGGAGGAUGAGGGCAUCCGGGUGGAGCUGAGCUCAAGCCAAGUUGAAAGGAAGAUGGGGAGGACCUCCGACUGGUUCCCCGCUCUCCACUCCUCCCCUGCUCUGCUUCCAAACUCCAAAUGCGUCAGAGGAGGGGUGUGUGUGUCAAACAGUGCUCCUCUCUGCUUCCUUCAGGCCAGCUGUCAAGGAAUUGUUGUCAUUAAUGCUGCUUGGAAAAACCCUGUUGUUCAAAUAAUAAAAUACAGUGGUACCUCGGUUUAAGAACA